AAUUAAGGGCACACGGUGGAUGCCUAGGCAUGCAGAGGCGAAGAAGGACGUGUAAAGCUGCGAUAAGCUGCGGGGAGUUGCAAAAGAACUGUGAUCCGCGGAUUUCCGAAUGGGGCAACCCACUCUAAUUUAUUAGGGUAUCCUUUCGAGGAGGCAUACCCGGGGAACUGAAACAUCUAAGUACCCGGAGGAAGAGAAAACAACAGUGAUUCCGCAAGUAGUGGCGAGCGAACGUGGAAGAGCCCAAACCGUAUCUGUUACGGCAGGUGCGGGGUUAUAGGACUGCAUAAUGGUUUUAUUUAAAUGAUUGGAAUGGUUUGGGAAAGCCAUCCAUAGAGGGUGAGAGACCCGUACGAUUGAGUAAAUAAGACUUGGCAGUAUCCUGAGUAGGGCGGGGCCGGAGAA
rnacentral:rRNA from 1 species